UACAGAGGUCUCAAGCGUUGUUCGGAUUCAUUGGCGUAAAGGGUGCGUAGGCGGCGCGGUAAGUCGGGUGUGAAAUCUCGGAGCUUAACUCCGAACUGCAUUCGAUACUGCGGUGCUUGAGGACUGGAGAGGAGACUGGAAUUCAUGGUGUAGCAGUGAAAUGCGUAGAGAUCAGGAGGAACACCGGUGGCGAAGGCGGUCUCUGGGCCGAUACUGACGCUGAGGAGCGAAAGCGUGGGAGCGAACAGG
rnacentral:rRNA from 1 species